AAAAAUUGGAGUCCAGAAACCAACAAAAAAACGGGGCGUAUCUGAAAAGCCAUACGAGUAAGAAAUAA
rfam:Flavobacterium granuli strain DSM 19729 genome assembly, contig: Ga0134107_101